AUUAUUAAUGAUCCUUCCGUAGGGGAACCUGCGGAAGGAUCAUUAAUAAUGCUCUCUGGCUUCGGUCAGUUGAGUUCAAUGAGUGCCUUCUCUUCGGAGUUGGCCAUCCAUACACACCGUGAACUGUGGCUUCGGCCAUCACAAACUGUUAGUAAUGAAUGUAAUAUCAUAACAAAAACAAAACUUUUAACAACGGAUCUCUUGGCUCUCGCAUCGAUGAAGAACGCAGCGAAAUGCGAUAAGUAAUGUGAAUUGCAGAAUUCAGUGAAUCAUCGAAUCUUUGAACGCACCUUGCGCCCUUUGGUAUUCCGAAGGGCAUGCCUGUUUGAGUGUCAUGAAACCUCACCCCACUUGGGUUUUUGCCUGAGCGGUGGUGUAUUGGGUGUUGCCUUGCCAAAGGCUCGCCUUAAAAACAUAAGCACCUUGGAUGUAAUACGUUUCAUCCUUCUGGGUGGCUGACAACCCCACAUAUUCAUGAUCUGGCCUCAAAUCAGGUAGGGCUACCCGCUGAACUUAAGCAUAUCAAUAAGCGGAGGAA
rnacentral:rRNA from 1 species